ACACAUUCCCCGUAAUACGUGUGGGACACGCCUUUCUACUUCCUCUUCAUCGACGUGACAGGUCUCAAGGUUGGCAAGUAUGCCUAUACCUCCUUCUGCCUCUUAAUGUGUUGGACACGCCUUUCUGCUUCCUUUUUAUCUACGUGUUGAUCAGCGACCCUGGUGUUGGUCGCGUUGUUAAAAGUCUUCACACACAACGCAGGGGAAAACAACAGCGGUUACACAAGACCUUGAGACAGGUCAUGGACUCUGAGUACCCGGAGUGCCACAGGAAGUAUGUGGCAUGGUCCUCUUACUGUACAUCAUCAGCCAGAUGCACUUGGCACACCAGGAGGAGUUCCUGGCCAUCCUCACCUCCAGAAGAGGUGGUCGCUGAGUUAAAGUUGCACACUUGAAGGAAACAGCAGGGUUAGGGUUUCAACAUGUCUCAUCACUCAUCACUGACCUGCUCUGCCUUUCAGGUGCGGUCCUGGGAAGAAGUGACUCCGAGGACCUGGAGAAUACCAAUGAUCAUCCAACACGACUCUGUGAAUUCUGGGAUAUGUUGUUCUAAGUUAAGACCCACCAGCCAGCGGGACACUUGCUGAAGGGUCCACUCUGCCACGCUGCGGUUCUGCCACUGGUCCUGCUUGGAAAGCCGGCCUUCAUCCAGGAUCUAGCAGUGGGAAUCCCAACAGAAACACGGUGAACAAGACAAAAUAAUGGCCAGGUGAUUUCAAAGGUCAUCUGGACCACAAAUGAUAAGAACACUCAGUGCGAAAAAUGUUUAAUAGAUAGUUUAAUUAUGCUAUAUAAAGGAUCUUUGACCAGCGUUUUGCAGUUAUCGUUAAAAACAGAAGAGACCCCCUGCAAUACAGAGGAUCAUUUGAUGAGUGUCUUGCACUAGGACCUUAAACAGCACAGCCUUCCUGUCUUAUAGAGGAUCUUUGACUAUUUUAUUUUUGCAGUAGGACCUUAAACAGGACAGUGCUCCUGUCUUAUAGAGGAUCUUUGACUAUUUUAUUUUUGCAGUUGGACUUAGUGUGUGAAUGUGAGUGUGAAUGUUGUCUGUCUA